UUGCUCUCUGAUUCAGCGGCGGCACGCGCGUGAGUAAUGCCUAGGAAUCUGCCUGGUAGUGGGGGACAACGUCUCGAAAGGGACGCUAAUACCGCAUACGUCCUACGGGAGAAAGCAGGGGACCUUCGGGCCUUGCGCUAUCAGAUGAGCCUAGGUCGGAUUAGCUAGUUGGUGAGGUAAUGGCUCACCAAGGCGACGAUCCGUAACUGGUCUGAGAGGAUGAUCAGUCACACUGGAACUGAGACACGGUCCAGACUCCUACGGGAGGCAGCAGUGGGGAAUAUUGGACAAUGGGCGAAAGCCUGAUCCAGCCAUGCCGCGUGUGUGAAGAAGGUCUUCGGAUUGUAAAGCACUUUAAGUUGGGAGGAAGGGUUGUAGAUUAAUACUCUGCAAUUUUGACGUUACCGACAGAAUAAGCACCGGCUAACUCUGUGCCAGCAGCCGCGGUAAUACAGAGGGUGCAAGCGUUAAUCGGAAUUACUGGGCGUAAAGCGCGCGUAGGUGGUUUGUUAAGUUGGAUGUGAAAGCCCCGGGCUCAACCUGGGAACUGCAUUCAAAACUGACAAGCUAGAGUAUGGUAGAGGGUGGUGGAAUUUCCUGUGUAGCGGUGAAAUGCGUAGAUAUAGGAAGGAACACCAGUGGCGAAGGCGACCACCUGGACUGAUACUGACACUGAGGUGCGAAAGCGUGGGGAGCAAACAGGAUUAGAUACCCUGGUAGUCCACGCCGUAAACGAUGUCAACUAGCCGUUGGGAGCCUUGAGCUCUUAGUGGCGCAGCUA
rnacentral:rRNA from 1 species